ACAGCCAAUGAUUGGAAUACAAAACUCCUUCGAGAACAGGAAGAACGUGAGCAGAAAAGGAAAUCGAGUCUGUUAUGUGAACAAAUACAAGUUUCAAAGCUCAGCUUGCAAAUCAGGAUGUUAAAGGACAGCAAGAUGAAUUACCACCACCUUCAACAGAUUCCAGCAGUGUAAUGUCAGGAGAUACACGAGCAGGAGCUGUGCUGCAACGCAUCCAUGACCUGUAACAGCAGCUGGAGGAGUUGGGAGCAAAAAUGACUUUACCGACCGAGCAACGGGUACCCGCUGGAGUCACUGCGGCCUACGACGCGCCGCUGUUCGCUAAGAGCCUCUCCCUCGCCCCGAGACCGCUGUCCGCCCCGUGGGCCCCUCGCCACCGUCGCCG